GGGCCCGCACAAGCGGUGGAGCAUGUGGCUUAAUUCGAGGCAACGCGAAGAACCUUACCUGGUCUUGACAUGCCCGUCAUAGUUUUCCGAAAGGAAUUCGUCAGUUCGGCUGGACGGUGCACAGGUGCUGCAUGGCUGUCGUCAGCUCGUGUCGUGAGAUGUUCGGUUAAGUCCGGCAACGAGCGCAACCCUCGUUCCUAGUUGCCAGCGGGUAAUGCCGGGGACUCUAGGAAGACAAACCUCGUGUAGAGGUAGGAAGGUGGGGACGACGUCAAGUCAGUAUGGCCCUUACGACCAGGGCUGCACACGUGCUACAAUGCCCAGUACAAUGGGAUGCAACACCGCGAGGUUGAGCAAAUCCACAAAACUGGGCCCAGUUCGGAUUGGAGUCUGCAACUCGACUCCAUGAAGUAGGAAUCGCUAGUAAUCG
rnacentral:rRNA from 1 species